rnacentral:lncRNA from 1 species
GGUAAACCCUAUACUAGGAUAAUCUUAUAUCAGCAUAAAAUUAUUUUUAAAUCAUUAAAACUUUUAGAUCUAAUCUAAAAAUCAGAUCGUAUAUAUUUUCAAAAAUUUGUGGCUCUGAUACCACUGUUAGAAAAUUGGGUAGGCAGCAUGUAUAGAUUUCAAAACUUUUAAAAUAUACAGUGAAAAACAAAACAGGUUAAACCCUUUAACCCUACAUACAAGAAAUCAAAUCUAAUCCUACCCA